UAACAUGCCUAGCAGGAGAAAGGCCAUUAUCAAAAAGGAGGUUCACCUUUGAUGAGGCUAGCCCAUUAUUCUUCAGGCAUGUUAAUACAUGCGAUGUCCCCAAAUACAGGAUACUUGACUGCAAAAUUUGUGGUAAUGGGAGACUGCAUUUGCUUUCUCUCC